rnacentral:rRNA from 1 species
UACGGGGGGAGCAAGCGUUGUUCGGAUUUACUGGGCGUAAAGGGCGCGUAGGCGGCGCAACAAGUCACUUGUGAAAUCUCCGGGCUUAACCCGGAGCGGCCAAGUGAUACUGUCGUGCUAGAGUGCGGAAGGGGCUACUGGAAUUCUCGGUGUAGCGGUGAAAUGCGUAGAUAUCGAGAGGAACACCUGCGGCGAAGGCGGGUUGCUGGGCUGAUACUGACGCUGAGGAGCGAAAGCCAGGGGAGCGAACGGG